UACGAAGGGUGCAAGCGUUAGUCGGAAUUACUGGGCGUAAAGCGUGCGUAGGCGGUUUCUUAAGUCCGUUGUGAAAGCCCUGGGCUCAACCUGGGAACUGCAGUGGAUACUGAGAGGCUAGAGUGUGUCAGAGGAUGGUGGAAUUCCCGGUGUAGCGGUGAAAUGCGUAGAGAUCGGGAGGAACAUCAGUGGCGAAGGCGGCCAUCUGGACAACACUGACGCUGAGCAC
rnacentral:rRNA from 1 species